AACGAACGCUGGCGGCAUGCCUAACACAUGCAAGUCGAACGAGACCUUCGGGUCUAGUGGCGCACGGGUGCGUAACGCGUGGGAACCUGCCCUUAGGUUCGGAAUAACUCCCCGAAAGGGGUGCUAAUACCGGAUAAUGUCUUCGGACCAAAGAUCUAUCGCCUUUGGAUGGGCCCGCGUUGGAUUAGCUAGUUGGUAGGGUAAAAGCCUACCAAGGCGACGAUCCAUAGCUGGUCUGAGAGGAUGAUCAGCCACACUGGGACUGAGACACGGCCCAGACUCCUACGGGAGGCAGCAGUGGGGGAUAUUGGACAAUGGGCGAAAGCCUGAUCCAGCAAUGCCGCGUGAGUGAUGAAGGCCUUAGGGUUGUAAAGCUCUUUUACCCGGGAUGAUAAUGACAGUACCGGGAGAAUAAGCUCCGGCUAACUCCGUG
rnacentral:rRNA from 1 species